rnacentral:rRNA from 1 species
AUUGAACGCUGGCGGCAGGCCUAACACAUGCAAGUCGAGCGGAUGAAGGGAGCUUGCUCCUGGAUUCAGCGGCGGACGGGUGAGGAAUGCCUAGGAAUCUGCCUGGCAGUGGGGGAUAACGUCCGGAAACGGGCGCUAAUACCGCAUACGUCCUGAGGGAGAAAGUGGGGGAUCUUCGGACCUCACGCUAUCAGAUGAGCCUAGGUCGGAUUAGCUAGUUGGUGGGGUAAAGGCCUACCAAGGCGACGAUCCGUAACUGGUCUGAGAGGAUGAUCAGUCACACUGGAACUGAGACACGGUCCAGACUCCUACGGGAGGCAGCAGUGGGGAAUAUUGGACAAUGGGCGAAAGCCUGAUCCAGCCAUGCCGCGUGUGUGAAGAAGGUCUUCGGAUUGUAAAGCACUUUAAGUUGGGAGGAAGGGCAGUAAGUUAAUACCUUGCUGUUUUGACGUUACCAACAGAAUAAGCACCGGCUAACUUCGUG